GUGGUAUUAAUGUUAAGUUUUUUUUAUAAAUUUUAAUUUAUUUUUUUAAAAUUGUAAUUCUCCCUUUUAAUACGUCACUGCAUACAUGUACCAAUUUGAUUUUAUCCUGAUCACUAGCCUGGAUUCUAUUUAUCGCCUUACAACGAAGCCCCCGGGAUCCCGAAGAAACAUUUCCCCGCGCAUGGGGUAAUUCACCAUGGGACGCCCCAUAGGAAACUUGUAUGGGAUGUCCGUUUUUUCUUAGGGGAAAAUGCACAGGAAAUUUUUUUUGAAGUCCCCUCGGAUUUCCCCUGUUCCUUAUACUCAAUUGUUGUAUGGCCUGUCAAUAAAAAGAUUUAUACAAAAUAUUGGCAA